rnacentral:rRNA from 1 species
AUUGAACGCUGGCGGCAGGCCUAACACAUGCAAGUCGAACGAGUGGCGGACGGGUGAGUAAUGUCUGGGAAACUGCCUGAUGGAGGGGGAUAACUACUGGAAACGGUAGCUAAUCCCGCAUCCAUCGGAUGUGCCCCGAGUGGAUUAGCUAGUAGGUGGGGUACAGGCUCACCUCGGCGACGAUCCCUAGCUGGUCUGAGAGGAUGACCAGCCACACGGGAACUGAGACACGGUCCAGACUCCUAGGGGAGGCAGCAGUGGGGAAUAUUGCAAAAGGGGCGCAAGCCUGAUGCAGCCAGGCCGCGUGUAGGAAGAAGGCCUUGGGGUUGUAAAGUACUUUCAGCGGGGAGGCGUUACCCGCAGAAGAAGCACCGGCUAACUCCGUGCCAGCCGCCGCGGUAAUU